GGUUACAGGAAUUAAUACUCACAGAAAACACAUACACGUAUGAAAACUCUGGGGAACAGAAGAUUUUUCUAACUGGAGUAGAACAUCCCCCACCACAUAAUCAGCAUCAUUGUGAAACAGGAAUGAACAGAGCUGGCCUGUCCAAAAUUGUGUCCAAUCACAGCAGCUCCAGAG
rnacentral:lncRNA from 1 species